UACGGGGGGGGCAAGCGUUGUUCGGAAUUACUGGGCGUAAAGGGUUUGUAGGUGGCUUGCUAAGUCAGACGUGAAAUCCCUCAGCUUAACUGGGGAACUGCGUCUGAGACUGGCAAGCUCGAGUGCAGGAGAGGAACGCGGAAUUCCAGGUGUAGCGGUGAAAUGCGCAGAUAUCAGGAGGAACACCAAUGGCGAAGGCAGCUCGCUGGGACGGUACUGACGCUGAGACGCGAAAGCGUGGGGAGCAAACAGG
rnacentral:rRNA from 1 species